GAUUCCCCUAGUAACUGCGAGUGAAGCGGGAAAAGCUCAAAUUUGAAAUCUGGCGGCUCCGUCGCCCGAGUUGUAUUCUGGAGAAGCGUUUUCCGUGCCGGACCGUGUACAAGUCCCUUGGAACAGGGCGUCGUAGAGGGUGAGAAUCCCGUCUUUGACACGGACUCCCGGUGCUAUGUGAUGCGCUCUCGAAGAGUCGAGUUGUUUGGGAAUGCAGCUCAAAACGGGUGGUAAAUUCCAUCUAAAGCUAAAUAUUGGCGAGAGACCGAUAGCGAACAAGUACCGUGAGGGAAAGAUGAAAAGCACUUUGGAAAGAGAGUAAAACAGUACGUGAAAUUGUUGAAAGGGAAACGCUUGAAGUCAGUCGCGUCUGCCGGAACUCAGCCUUGCUUCUGCUCGGUGCACUUUCCGGUUCGACGGGCCAGCAUCGGUUUCGGGCGGCGGACACUGGCGUGGGGAAGGUGGCAGCUCCGGCUGUGUUAUAGCCCCGCGUCGCAAACGCCGUCUGGGACCGAGGAAUCCGGCGCGAGCCUGGGAUGCUGGCGUAAUGGCUUUAAACGACCCGUCUUGAAACACGGACCAAGGAGUGCUACACGCUCGCGAGUGUUUGGGUGGAAAACCCGAACGCGCAAUGAAAGUGAAAGUCGAUACCCCUCGCGGGGGCACCGACGCCCGAGCCUGAUGUUUUCGGAAGGCCUUGCGGUAGAGCGAGUGCGUUGCGACCCGAAAGAUGGUGAACUAUUCCUGAGGAGGGCGAAGCCAGAGGAAACUCUGGUGGAGGCUCGUAGCGGUUCUGACGUGCAAAUCGAUCGCAGGACUUGGGUAUAGGGGCGAAAGACUAAUCGAACCAUCUAGUAGCUGGGUUCCUGCC
rnacentral:rRNA from 1 species